rnacentral:rRNA from 1 species
AACGUAGGAGACAAACGUUAUCCGGAGUUACUGGGCGUAAAGGGCUCGUAGGUGGCCAACUAAGUCAUACGUGAAAUCCCUCAGCUUAACUGGGGAACUGCGUCUGAUACUGGAUGGCUUGAGUUUGGGAGAGGGAUGCGGAAUUCCAGGUGUAGCGGUGAAAUGCGUAGAUAUCUGGAGGAACACCGGUGGCGAAGGCGGCAUCCUGGACCAAUACUGACACUGAGGAGCGAAAGCCAGGGGAGCAAACGGG